CUCUCUUACUACGUGUAACCACGACGCCUGUAACUUCAUUUUCGUGAUGUCGUACCGACAUGGGCGGAGGGUUUUCGUUUCGUUUCGUUCCAUUUCAUUUCAUUAUUCGUAUGAAACGUCGUCGUUCAUAUUUCAUACUAUCGAAGGAUCGGAAGAGAACACGUCUAAA